rnacentral:tRNA from 1 species
AAGAGUGUAGUUUAAUUGGUAAAAUUGGAAGCUUCAACCUUCAAGACCUUGGUUCGAGCCCGAGUACUCUUG